CUUGACUUAAAAGAAGUCCAUAAAGGGUGUGUUUUCCAUUUUCUAUCCUCAUUUCCAGAGACAGUGAGCCUUCAGACAACAGUGGUAACCUGAUCUACCAAACUAACUCAUCUGGAUUGAGGAAGUGAAAGCAAAAUCCCUCUUCAUCCUCUUCCACUCCUUCCAGGUUUCAUCUUCUCCAAGAUCUCCAGAACUUCAUUGAAGGAAAAGAGUUGUCCAAAUAAGGCUGGGAAGACAAACUGGCAAACCAGCCUAGAAGAACCCAAGCAGAGUCCAAGAACUGAACAAAAGCCUCAAGACUGCUUCAUUCCUCCUGCAGUGCCCUGACUGGUAGAUG
rnacentral:lncRNA from 1 species